UCUUAUUUCUUUCGAAUUAAGAGGUGCAACUCUAUGACAUAGUCAUAAAGUUCAAACCAUUCAACUGAGACAAUUUAUAAAUCCUUCUCGACUACCUUGGAGCUUGUGGUGUAGAAACUAGGUUGUUAUAUUUGUUGAUUAUCAUCUUGUCUCUCAAAGAACCCUUUCUUUGAGUUCUAUCUCUUGUUCAUUUGCGCUAUCUUAGGCAAAUCCUAGUGUAGGAUUACAAUGAACUACCCAACAAACAACAUUUGUUAGUUGGUUUAUAGAAGUGAUAUCCAAAUGUUAAUUUAAGGAUACCCACAAGAUAAUUUUAAACAAAUAUUGCUUAUUAGCACACAACCCCAAAUCUUAACAUGAUUAAGAUUUGUCUUUCUUUCCAACUACAUCUUAUGGAGUCAUGAAAAUUUUGGAAGAUAUUCUAAUUGACAAUCAUAUUGUCUUAGAAGCAUAUAUCCUAUAUAUGGGUAAUUGAUAACAUCCAACGAACUAAAUCUUAUUCAAGUUCGUUCUUCUCCUAAUGGAGAAAUCCAUUAUCUUUUGAUGCUUCUUUCCUUGAUAUUUUUCAAGGAAACUGUUCUAAAGUGUUAUCUUUCCUUAGAUCAAAUCUAAGGAGGCAAAUACUUUAGACGUCUUACUCAUCAACUUACAUUUCUUGAAUUCUUUGAAACCUUUUGCAAAGUAUUCGGACUUGUGUUUAUUCAAAAUAAACUAUAGUCCAACCGAGAGCGAUCUUCGGUGAAUGUCAUACAACAUGAGUAGUAUUAUGUUGCGGACAAGUGCCACUAACAUCUAAGUGAAUUAACCUCAAUAACUUUGUGAUUCUUUCUUCUUUCCAAAAGAAUAAAGAUUCGAACAUUUCACCUCUAUACAAUUUUAAUAAGAAGGUAUUGGAUCCGGAUCUAACGAUCCAAAGCAUCCAUCUAUGACCAACUCGUAUUUUAUGUUUUUGAGGUAUCACAACUCAGUUGGGAUUAGUCGCUACCUUGCAACCUUUUGGGUUUUAAGCAUCAUUAUAUUCUAAACAGUUAACACUACC
rnacentral:lncRNA from 1 species